rnacentral:rRNA from 1 species
UGGGGAAUCUUGCACAAUGGGGGAAACCCUGAUGCAGCGACGCCGCGUGAGUGAUGAAGUCCUUCGGGAUGUAAAGCUCUUUCGACAGGAACGAUAAUGACGGUACCUGGAGAAGAAGCUGCGGCUAACUACGUGCCAGCAGCCGCGGUAAUACGUAGGCAGCAAGCGUUGUUCGGAAUUAUUGGGCGUAAAGAGUAUGUAGGCGGUUCACUAAGUCUGAUGUGAAAUCUCCUGGCUUAACUGGGAGGGUGCGUCGGAUACUGGUGGGCUCGAGUACGGGAGAGGGAAGCGGAAUUCCUGGUGUAGCGGUGAAAUGCGUAGAUAUCAGGAGGAACACCGGUGGUGUAGACGGCUUCCUGGACCGUAACUGACGCUGAGAUACGAAAGCGUGGGUAGCAAACAGG